rnacentral:lncRNA from 1 species
AUGUGGGAGACCCACAUUCAAAUCCCUGCUCCACCUGAUUCGGAGCUGAACUUUUCAUCCCAAAUCGCACAGCAAGGACUUGAACCUGGGUCUCCUAGGCUCCAGCACACACACUUCCUGAAUCAAAAAGCUCAGGUUUUGACCCGAAAAACAGACAUUUUGACACAAUUCUAUGUGGAUAAAAAUGUUCCAAAUGAUCUGUUUUUGUUCCAGUAUGGAAGGAAAACAACUCUCAAAAACUUGAAAGUUGCUGCAAAAGAGAAUUGUCCUCCUCCAGCCAGCUCUGCACUGGCAUCUGCAGAACUUUGGGGGCCACCUUGGAGCUGCUCUGAGCACACCUUGGAGUUCUUCCUGAGCCCCGCAGUUCCAGCACUGGAGCCAGUGUUCUUGUCAGUCAUCUAUAUUUUCUACAGCAUGUACCUCCCCGCUUACACCUUCCCAAGAUUUGAAGCGGAGCAACUGUCUGAAUCAGAUGGAGCCCAAAGCAGCUGCAGACUUACACUAAGGAUGUCCCCCUGCUGUUUCCUAAAGCUUGGAGGGUUGAAACGGAACUACACUCAGUCAGAUGAAGCAAAGGAAGACAUUAUGCCAAAUAAAUGAACUGGUCUGGAUCAGAGUUGCUUGUGGCUGCACCUACCAUUUCAAAACCACAGACUGGAAACACAAGACUAUAACCUUCUUGAUUCUCAUCAGCCUGUUACCAGCAAUGAGAAACGUUUCAGGAAUUGUAUAUUCCUGUAAUACAACUGCCUGCAUUCCUACAAUGGCAACAUGCAAAUAUUUUUGAUGAAAAAGGACAAUUGUUUUGUAUAAAAAAUAGGUUUUAGUCAAAGAUACAAGAACAUAGGACCGGAAGGGACCCCCUCGGUCAAUGAAUCCAGUCCCCUGCUGUCACAGACGAUUGUGUCAUAUGAUCGCUCUCAUAACAUAAGCGAUAGGGCUCAGUACAGAAGUAACUGUAUGAAAUUCCAUGGCCCAUGAUGUACAGGAGGUCAGACUACAAGACGUGAUGAUGGUCCCUUCUGGCCUUAACAAUCUAGACAAGGCUCACGGAAUGUCCCUCAUUUUCUGACUAGUUCUAAUGAACUUUUAGAAAAAGAAAAGCAGAAAAAGUCAUCACCAUAUACUCAUGGCAAGUUAACUCCUCUCAGAAAUAAAGCCUGUGUAUAAGAGGAGCCA